rnacentral:rRNA from 1 species
CGCAAUGAAAGUGAACAAUGUCCUCGCAAGAGGCAGACGUGCGAUCCCCGGCGCCUCGGUGCCGGGGCGCAGCAUGGCCCCAUCCCGACUGCUUGCAGUGGGGUGGCGGAAGAGCGUGCGCGGUGAGACCCGAAAGAUGGUGAACU